rnacentral:lncRNA from 1 species
UGAUCGUUCACAUUCCAUCUUUGUGUUUUUCUGAUCAGUGUUUAGUAGCAACACAAAGAGACGUAGGGUGUAACACACACACACCCUCACACACAGUUAGACCUGUAGAACAACUGGAUUCCUCUGCAGGACUGACUAUAAAACGUAUGAGAAGAUUCACUCUGAACAUUCUGAAGACUCUGAAGAACCCGAACGCACCAUGGACGUCAACAACCUAAUGACGCCCGACAUGAAACAGAAGCUUUCAAAGGCUGCGACUGACGCAGGCUCCGCCUUCUGCUCAUCACUGACAGGAAGUAAAGGAGACAGUAAUAGUGGAGGCGGAGGAUUCAUGGAUGCAGCCAAAGGCUUGAUUGGAGGAGGAGACGAUAAAAAGGAGGAGGGGGGAGGAGGAGGAGGUCUGGAUUUAUUCGGUGCAGUGAAAGACUCGAUGGGAGGAGACGAUAAAAAGGAGGAGGGGGGAGGAGGGGGAGGUGAGUUCUGAUUGGACGUCGCUGGACAAAAACAGGAAAUAAAAGUUCAGGAAUGAAGUGAAAGGAAAUGAAG